UACUUUGAGAGAGAGUAAACAGUGCGUGAAACCGCUCAAAGGUAAACGGGUAGAGUUGAACUGCAAGCUCUGAGAAAUCAGCUAGUGAGUUUGGCAUGAUCUUGGUCAUGUGGGUUGGCUUCUGGAGCCCUCGGGUAACCGUGGGUCUGACCCUUCGGGGAGGAUGCGUUGAAGUGCUUAUCAUGCGCUGUGCGCUCCAGUUGCGUCGAACCUGCUCGCUAGUGCACGUUCUCAGAGUGUUCACCACGACCGACGCGGUCGUCUGUCUGCUGUGGUCGAACCCGGCUCGCUUAGUCCUUGUGGCUUCGCGGGUUGGGGAUGGCAGGUAGCUUGAUGGUGCGUAUCAGCAAUGGUACGUGCUUUCCUGUGUAAUGAGCUGGCCACAGCAGUACUGUACGGUGUGUCGGAGACGGCGGCUUGGUAUGGUUGCGCGUCUGCCUAGUUCGGCAUAGCAGCCUCGGGUCUGGUUGUCAUGUUGCUUGUCAUGUUGCAAGCCUGAUGAUGGCUCGGAGUUGUGUUGUCGGCGGUGGCGUGUGCUAUGCGUUAGAGGGCCCAUAGUCUGUGGUGUAGUGGUAGACGAUCUACCCGACCCGUCUUGAAACACGGA
rnacentral:rRNA from 1 species